CCUACGGGUGGCAGCAGUCGAGAAUCAUUCACAAUGGGGGAAACCCUGAUGGUGCGACGCCGCGUGGGGGAAUGAAGGUCUUCGGAUUGUAAACCCCUGUCAUGUGGGAGCAAAGUAAAAAGAUAGUACCACAAGAGGAAGAGACGGCUAACUCUGUGCCAGCAGCCGCGGUAAUACAGAGGUCUCAAGCGUUGUUCGGAAUCACUGGGCGUAAAGCGUGCGUAGGCUGUUUCGUACGUCGUGUGUGAAAUGGGCGGGCUCAACCCGCGGACGGCACAUGAUACUGCGAGACUAGAGUAAUGGAGGGGGAACCGGAAUUCUCGGUGUAGCAGUGAAAUGCGUAGAUAUCGAGAGGAACACUCGUGGCGAAGGCGGGUUCCUGGACAUUAACUGACGCUGAGGCACGAAGGCCAGGGGAGCGAAAGGGAUUAGAUACCCCAGUAGUC
rnacentral:rRNA from 1 species